rnacentral:pre_miRNA from 1 species
UGAGUAUUGCAUCAAGAACCGAAUGUUAAUAUCAGUUUUUGAUGAAUUACUUAAA